rnacentral:rRNA from 1 species
ACUCCUACGGGAGGCAGCAGUGGGAAUAUUGCACAAUGGGGGAAACCCUGAUGCAGCCAUGCCGCGUGUGUGAAGAAGGCCUUCGGGUUGUAAAGCACUUUCAGUGGGGAGGAAAGGUUGCAGGUUAAUACCCUGUAGCUGUGACGUUACCCACAGAAGAAGCACCGGCUAACUCCGUGCCAGCAGCCGCGGUAAUACGGAGGGUGCAAGCGUUAAUCGGAAUUACUGGGCGUAAAGCGUGCGCAGGCGGUCUGUUAAGCGAGAUGUGAAAGCCCC